CGCCACCACAAUGGGCAAAGAUACACGUUGGUGGUACUGUUCUUAUGUCAGUCAGGGACAGAGCAGAUGGCAGUCCUUUGUUCAUCCUAGCUUGAUGCCUGGCUUGGUGGCCAAAGCUGUUUUAUGCCUAGGACACAUAC